UUGUUCGUAAUUGUAAGUCGUUCCUUUUGAUUUUCAGGUUGAAAUCUGCCGUUUACAACGGUUUUUCGCGAGCUUAUCCCGUGACACGUUUCGUUUUUCUCGUGGCCGUCUUGUGGCUGAAAUGGCAUCUCGCCUCCUGGAAAUCGUAGAUCGAAUUGGAUAAGUAAACUGUUCAGGAAUUAACAUACAGAAUAACCAUUGCAAUGAAAUGAUCAAGUUUAUUGGUGAUGCCCAUUGUUGCCUGAAAGCACAGUUGCGGAGGAAGCUUUGCUUAGAGGAAGGUGGUUCCCAGCCUGGAGAGCAACAAAGCCAAGAAGGGAUCACUCAACUGAAAAAAACAGUAUUUCCAGAUGAGUACCUGACUGACAAUUUACAAUAAAUACCAAAUUAGGCCCACCUGAUAUUUCAUACAGUGAUUCAUAAUCAAACUGGGAUUGGACAAGGCCCUUUUUGUGUUUCCAUAGUUAAAAAUUUCCCAGAUGUGCUGAUCAGUGGAAGCCUAGGGUCUCCUCAUCAAAAUAUCAGGAUGAGUUGACAUAGGUUUACAUUGACAGAGAUUUUUGAGUGUCCUCAAUCUUUGGGCGACACAAUGAAGUAUUAGGUGCCUUGCUCAAGGACAACGAGAUGAGGUGGCGCAGAUUAUGUGAGAGUUGAACCCACAAUAUCCUUGUCAUUGUGAUCAUAAACAACCAGAAACUCUGGUAUGUGGACUGGAGGGAUGACUGCUUCUUAAUUUUGUCUUAAUUCACAGAGUUCGAUAUGUGUCCUUUGAAACAAUAACAUAAAACUUGGCCUUGGACCUCAAUCUUGAAAUUCUUAACUUCAAAGCUGUUGGUGUUAAAUGACUCUUCUGAUUUUAUAAAGCUUAAUCUUUGGUAGAAGAACUUGAUGUGGAAAGCCAAUGUUUCUACUCACUGUUAGUUUUCGGGCCUCAAAAUUCAGGAUUUUGCCUCCAGAGCAUUUCUUGAAAAAAGUGCUGUGGAGGUAGAGGCCUCUCAACAGCAAUUUGUCCCUUGCCCAAGACAAAUUUGCCUCAGCUUAUUUUAGGCAUAGCAACCCUGCCAGAGUGAUUGCGGAGCUCCUGGCAAUGCACACCUGGAUCCGGAGCCUAAGAACUGGGGCUGUAUAAUUAGAAUAAGGCAGCCAGGCCCAUAACUUUGGGGUUACCAUUUGCCGCGAGUGCCGUGGAGAAUUUACCAUUCAGAAUCAAAAGUUAAGUGAGAACCAUUAUCUUUUUCAGCCCCUCCACCUGAUGACCCACAUUAACAGGGAAGGAGAUGAAGGCAUUCAGAUUUGGUAUGGCAUCGUCAUUCUACUGACAAGCCAUGGCCCGUUAACAAAAUUUACCAAGGACCACAGUUCUUUGCUGCGACAUUGGCUGGGUUUUGCUGACCACAAUACCAUUUGAACUGGAAAUGUUGUUGCGAGAAGAAUCCGUCUUGGGAUACAAGCCUAAUAGCAAGAUCAGAGGGCAUGGUUUCCACGAAGGCUGUCCAAGGGAGAUUCAGCAAUCUACUUGAUCAG